rnacentral:rRNA from 1 species
UACCUGGUUGAUCCUGCCAGUAGUCAUAUGCUUGUCUCAAAGAUUAAGCCAUGCAUGUGUAGUUAUGAACUAAUUCAGACUGUGAAA